CCAGACUUCAUUUAAGGAUUGGUAGGGGAGGCAAGAAUAUCUUGCUUGGAGAUCUUUGUUUAUCUGAGGCCUUUCAAAGAAUGCUACAAAUACAGAAGAUGUUUUGCAAGUAAAUCAUGACCAAGCCAUGACUGAGUGCAGUAUGUGACUUUGGCACAUUAUUUUGUGACUUUGUGCUGAUGGAGAAGGCACAAGUUUUUCUCUGCAGGAGUGCCUGCCCUUUGCCAAGUGUCACUGCAAAGCACAGAGAAGAAAGAGGGUUUGUAUAUAUGGAGAAGACACCACAUGUCUAGUGAUACAAAUGGAAAAGGUUUCACUGAUUUCUUCAGUACUCAAUAAGAAUACUGCAUGCUUUCAUCUACUUGCUGUAAUCUGCACACUUUCAGGACACCGUGACAAAAAUCAAGGAUCAAUUCGUCCUCUUUUUCUUCCCCCAUUUGAAAAGUGACAAUAAAGCAUCUUUCUGCAAUAACUUCACAUUCAGUUAGAAUGAAGGAAAUAAUGACAGCUUCACAAAGCAGUUUGUGCAAAUUAUAUUCUAAGUGACCUUUGGGGAUUUGGGUUGUUUUGGCUUGAAGAAUACCUACAGCUGCACUCUAGGGAAAGUUCCAAGAAGUAUCUUAGUCAUUAUCUGAGUGAAAAGCUAUCAACUGAAAUGAAUAUACUUAAAUUGCCCUAGUCUUUUCCUAGGAACUUGAUUCAUUAUUUCGUUUUCAAGCUUGUUGGGAAAGACCUGACUUAGUUGGAGAUAAAUACCUCACUUCAGUUUCACAAGAUAAUCAGAACUGAAUUCAGGCUAUGAUUGCUAAAUAUCCCUCUAUUGGAAGAAUGAUUUGAUGGACAAUUCUUUCCACUUUACAGACUGAGAUUCUGCUAUCUGAUGAACUAAGCCUAAAAUCCAGUUCUGCUGGAGAUCUUGGAGAUCAAUUUUCUUGUACGUUGGAGUAAAUAAAAAGAUAAGCUGUGCUCUAGACUUUGUUCCAUUUUAGGAGCUGUUUUGUUUUUAAAGAUCUAUGCCUGGGAAGUUUUUUGAGAGGUUGUUUGAGAGGCUAACUUACUUUUCAUGGAAAAUCUUAAAAAUAUUUAUAACUCAUGAUGAAAAAAGAGAUAUGCCAGAAAAUUCUCAGAGAACACAUUCAGUACUCAGAGCAAAGUUGUAAUUUGGCUGGGGUUGGGGAGGAGAAGUACUGCACUUUUUUUGUCCUUGAGAGGACUUAGUUUUUGCUAUGACCACAAAUCUCCAUUCAACCUGAUCUGUGAGACCCCUGUUCAUUGACAUACUAAAGAUCAGCCUUGAACUGCUCUUAUUCCUUGAAGAAUUGAGAA